GAUUAAGUUAUUAAGGGCGCACGGUGGAUGCCUUGGCACUAGAAGCCGACGAAGGACGUUACUAACGACGAUAUGCUUUGGGGAGCUGUAAGUAAGCUUUGAUCCAGAGAUUUCCGAAUGGGGAAACCCAGCACGAGUUAUGUCGUGUUAUCGAUAUGUGAAUACAUAGCAUAUCUGAAGGCAGACGCGGAGAACUGAAACAUCUUAGUACCCGCAGGAAGAGAAAGAAAAAUCGAUUCCCUGAGUAGCGGCGAGCGAAACGGGAAGAGCCCAAACCAACGAGCUUGCUUGUUGGGGUUGUAGGACACUCUAUACGGAGUUACAAAAGAACAGACUAGACGAAUCAUCUGGAAAGAUGAAUCAAAGAAGGUAAUAAUCCUGUAGUCGAAAGUUUGUUCACUCUUGAGUGGAUCCUGAGUACGACGGAACACGAGAAAUUCCGUCGGAAUCUGGGAGGACCAUCUCCCAAGGCUAAAUACUCUCUAGUGACCGAUAGUGAACCAGUACCGUGAGGGAAAGGUGAAAAGUACCCCGGAAGGGGAGUGAAAUAGAACUUGAAACCGUGUGCUUACAAGUAGUCAGAGCCCGUUAAUGGGUGAUGGCGUGCCUUUUGUAGAAUGAACCGGCGAGUUACGAUUUGAUGCAAGGUUAAGCAGUGAAUGUGGAGCCGUAGCGAAAGCGAGUCUGAAUAGGGCGUUGAGUAUUUGGUCGUAGACCCGAAACCAGGUGAUCUACCCAUGACCAGGUUGAAGUUCAGGUAACACUGAAUGGAGGACCGAACCGACUUACGUUGAAAAGUGAGCGGAUGAGUUGUGGGUAGCGGAGAAAUUCCAAUCGAACCUGGAGAUAGCUGGUUCUCUCCGAAAUAGCUUUAGGGCUAGCCUCAAGUGAUGAUUAUUGGAGGUAGAGCACUGUUUGGACGAGGGGCCCUUAUCGGGUUACCGAAUUCAGACAAACUCCGAAUGCCAAUCAAUUUAACUUGGGAGUCAGAACGCGGGUGAUAAGGUCCGUGUUCGAAAGGGAAACAGCCCAGACCACCAGCUAAGGUCCCAAAAUAUAUGUUAAGUGGAAAAGGAUGUGGCGUUGCCCAGACAACUAGGAUGUUGGCUUAGAAGCAGCCAUCAUUUAAAGAGUGCGUAAUAGCUCACUAGUCGAGUGACACUGCGCCGAAAAUGUACCGGGGCUAAACAUAUUACCGAAGCUGUGGAUUGUCCGUAAGGACAAUGGUAGGAGAGCGUUCUAAGGGCGUUGAAGCAUGAUCGCAAGGACAUGURGAGCGCUUAGAAGUGAGAAUGCCGGUGUGAGUAGCGAAAGACGGGUGAGAAUCCCGUCCACCGAUUGACUAAGGUUUCCAGAGGAAGGCUCGUCCGCUCUGGGUUAGUCGGGUCCUAAGCUGAGGCCGAUAGGCGUAGGCGAUGGAUAACAGGUUGAUAUUCCUGUACCACCAUUAUUCGUUUUAAGCGAUGGGGGGACGCAGUAGGAUAGGCGAAGCGUACGAUUGGAUUGUACGUCCAAGCAGUGAGAUUGAGUGUUAGGCAAAUCCGGCACUCUUAAGAUUGAGCUGUGAUGGGGAGAGGAAAUUGUUUCCUCGAGUCGUUGAUUUCACACUGCCAAGAAAAGCCUCUAGCUAGAAUUGUGGUGCCCGUACCGCAAACCGACACAGGUAGUCAAGAUGAGAAUUCUAAGGUGAGCGAGCGAACUCUCGUUAAGGAACUCGGCAAAAUGACCCCGUAACUUCGGGAGAAGGGGUGCUCUUUAGGGUUAACGCCCAGGAGAGCCGCAGUGAAUAGGCCCAAGCGACUGUUUAUCAAAAACACAGGUCUCUGCUAAACCGUAAGGUGAUGUAUAGGGGCUGACGCCUGCCCGGUGCUGGAAGGUUAAGAGGAGUGGUUAGCUUCUGCGAAGCUACGAAUCGAAGCCCCAGUAAACGGCGGCCGUAACUAUAACGGUCCUAAGGUAGCGAAAUUCCUUGUCGGGUAAGUUCCGACCCGCACGAAAGGCGUAACGAUUUGGGCACUGUCUCAACGAGAGACUCGGUGAAAUCAUAGUACCUGUGAAGAUGCAGGUUACCCGCGACAGGACGGAAAGACCCCGUGGAGCUUUACUGUAGUCUGAUAUUGAAAUUCGGCACAGCUUGUACAGGAUAGGUAGGAGCCUGAGAUACGUGAGCGCUAGCUUACGUGGAGGCGUUGGUGGGAUACUACCCUCGCUGUGUUGGAUUUCUAACCCGCACCAUUUAUCAUGGUGGGAGACAGUGUCAGAUGGGCAGUUUGACUGGGGCGGUCGCCUCCUAAAGAGUAACGGAGGCGCUCAAAGGUUUCCUCAGAAUGGUUGGAAAUCAUUCAUAGAGUGUAAAGGCAUAAGGAAGCUUGACUGCGAGACUUACAAGUCGAGCAGGGUCGAAAGACGGACUUAGUGAUCCGGUGGUUCCGCAUGGAAGGGCCAUCGCUCAACGGAUAAAAGCUACCCCGGGGAUAACAGGCUUAUCUCCCCCAAGAGUUCACAUCGACGGGGAG
rnacentral:rRNA from 1 species